rnacentral:rRNA from 1 species
CGCGGAUCAGCAUGCCGCGGUGAAUACGUUCCCGGGCCUUGUACACACCGCCCGUCACACCAUGAGAGUCGGGAACACCCGAAGUCCGUAGCCUAACCGCAAGGGGGGCGCGGCCGAAGGUGGGUUCGAUAAUUGGGGUGAAGUCGUAACAAGGUAAC